CAAUCGAUCUGCAGCAGGCUGGGCACGCUCUGUGAUGUUCCGGGGACUGCUACCGGGCCUGCUCUAUAGAGCCAUAGUGGCAGCAGCUACCAGCGCUGGCGUGGGCGUGGCCAGUGCCCCAGUGCUAGUGCAGCUGCCAUUCCCUCCGGUUGCGGAGCCCGGGCCUGAGGUCAGCGAGGGGCUGGCGGAACGGUUGUCUAGGGUGCUGCGGAAGCCUGCUUUCCUGGCUGGCAGCAGCGCGGCCUGUGGGGCGCUGCUUCUCGGGCUCUGCGCCGCCCUCUAUCGGCGCCAGAAGCAACGCAAAGAGCUCAGUCAUUAUACCGCCUCCUUUGCCUACACACCUGCAGUGUCCUUUCCACACUCAGAGGGCCUUUCUGGAUCCAGUUCCAGGUAAUUCUUGUGGCCUUUCUAACGACUGUUGUUUCUACAGACAGAGUGUCCCUUCCACUCCAGGCCUGACCACCUCUCAAUGUCCAGCCUCUCCCAGUUCCUACUCCUAACCAUCAUGUCUGUCCCGUGACUCUUGAUUUCUGCCAUUCUCCUCCCUUUGCUGGCUUCUUUUGGCUCCCCAUUCCCAAUAUUCACCUGCUCCCCUCAGGCCACCCAUGGGCCUUGGCCCUGCUGCCUACCCAUGGCUGGCAGACUCCUGGCCCCACCCAUCUCGAAGUCCCUCAGCUCAGGAACCCCGGGGGAGCUGCUGCCCCAGCAAUC
rnacentral:lncRNA from 1 species